ACAUACUGAUUCAUUGGCGGUUCGUCCCGCUGCAGGCGGGACGUUAAAAGGGAAUCCGGUGACCUGUCCCACAUAGGGAAUAGGUAGUCCGGAGCAGUCCCCGCUGCUGUAAGCUCCUGAUUAACCCGUAUUUCUCACUACUAUUAAUUACUUGGUGAGGAACCGGGCCAACGCUUUCAAUCCUUCGAUACCACUGUCCCGCUACUAUCGGGACGGGAAGGUUGUUGAAAGUGGAGCAAGCCAGAAGACCUGCCGGCAAUGAUGAUGGAAA
rnacentral:ncRNA from 2 species